rnacentral:rRNA from 1 species
AUGAACGCUAGCGACAGGCCUAACACAUGCAAGUCGAGGGGCAGCACAAGGAGCAAUCUGAGGUGGCGACCGGCGCACGGGUGAGUAACACGUAUGCAACCUGCCUGUAAGCGGGGAAUAACCCGUUGAAAGACGGACUAAUACCGCAUAAUACUAAAUUACUGCAUGGUAAUUAUUUAAACAUUUAUGGCUUACAGAUGGGCAUGCGCAUGAUUAGCUAGUUGGAGAGGUAACGGCUCCCCAAGGCAACGAUCAUUAGGGGUUCUGAGAGGAAGGUCCCCACACUGGUACUGAGACGCGGACCAGACUCCUACGGGAGGCAGCAGUGAGGAAUAUUGGUCAAUGGACGAGAGUCUGAACCAGCCAAGUCGCGUGCAGGAAGAAUGUCCUAAUGGAUUGUAAACUGCUUUUGCAGGGGAAUAAAGUGCAUCACGUGUGAUGUUUUGUAUGUACUCUGCGAAUAAGGAUCGGCUAACUCCGUGCCAGCAGCGGC